rnacentral:lncRNA from 1 species
AUAAGCUGUCUGCUUAUGAUUUCUUACUGCCGCUUCAGAACAAGAUCAUCGCCAGAUGGUGUGGUCUGCCAAUAUCAGGAACGUCCCCUGUAAUGAAACUGACAUCUUCUGGAAACGUCAUGCUUGUCACAUUUUCUUUCAGUCGUCAGCGGCAUGGAGCCAUCUUCAAAGCUUAUUUCCAGGCUAUACCCAAAACCGAGUGUGGUGGUUUCCUCACUGCGUGGAACGGCACGGUGACGUCACCUUACUACCCCGCCUACUACCCUCCAAAUGUGGACUGUAACUGGAAAAUCAGGGCUCCGUUGCCGGGAUACCUUCUUUCCGUGACCAUUGUGAUGCUAGACAUUCAGGAUUCACCCG